rnacentral:rRNA from 1 species
GUUAAAAAGCUCGUAGUUGGAUUUCGGAGUGGGCCAGUUGGUCCGCCGCAAGGUGUGUUACUGACUGGUUUGCUCUUCUUCGCAAAGACUGCGUGUGCUCUUCAGUGAGUGUGCGUAGGAUUUACGACGUUUACUUUGAAAAAAUUAGAGUGUUCAAAGCAGGCUAUUGCUUGAAUACAUGAGCAUGGAAUAAUGGAAUAGGACUUUGGUCCCAUUUUGUUGGUUUCUAGGGCCGAAGUAAUGAUUAAGAGGGACAAUUGGGGGCAUCCGUAUUUCGUUGUCAGAGGUGAAAUUCUUGGAUUUACGAAAGACGAACAACUGCGAAAGCACUUGCCCAAGAGUGUUCCAUUAAUCAGAACGAAGUAGAGGAUCA